UAAUAAGUGUUUUAUGGCACUUUUUUAAAUCCAUAUCCACCUUGUGUGCAAUGUCAGUCGAUCUUCUUCAUGGAGAUCGACCAAACAUCAACCUUUAUCUUUUAACUCUUUGUCUGAAAAAUAUUAUGAAUAAACAAUUCAAAAAUA
rnacentral:misc_RNA from 1 species